rnacentral:rRNA from 1 species
GACGAACGCUGGCGGCGUGCUUAACACAUGCAAGUCGAACGGAAAGGCCCUGCUUGCAGGGUACUCGAGUGGCGAACGGGUGAGUAACACGUGGGUGAUCUGCCCUGCACUUGGGGUAAAGUCUGGGAAACUGGGCUUAAUACCGGUAAGGCGCGAGUUUGAGUGUGAUGGUUGGAAAGAUUUUUCGGUGUCGGAUGAGCUCGCGGCCUAUCAGCUUGUUGGUGGGGUAAUGGCCUACCAAGGCGGCGACGGGUAGCUGGCCUGAGAGGGUGGACGGCCACACUGGGACCGAGGUACGGCCCAGACUGCGAAGGGAGGCAGCAGGGGGGAAUAUUGCACCAUGGGCGCAGGGCGGAUGCAGCGGGGCCGCGGAGGGGAUGACGGCCUUCGGGUUGUAAACUCCUUUCGAUAGGGACGAAGCUUUUUGUGACGGUACCUAGAGAAGAAGCACCGGCUAACUACGUG